UCUAAUUGGUGUAAAGAUAUCUCUCAAAUUUUGCCUCAUUUCAUCAUUUGGCUUGGAUCGAAAAUUAGGCUUAGGAGGGUUUUGGUAUGUUUAUGGAGUUAGAAGAUGGAUCAGAGGAGUUGGUGUGUUCCACUGUGGGUAAGACGGGGGUUGAACAUUUGGCUCUGUGUUAUAUACUGGAUAUAGAGGUGUAGGAGCAGAGUAUAAUUGAUUUUUAGGGUGUGAUUAAGUGG
rnacentral:lncRNA from 1 species